rnacentral:rRNA from 1 species
CCUGCCUCUGACUCUGGGAUAACAGUUGGAAACAGCUGCUAAUACUGGAUAUUAACCUGCUGGGCAUCUGGUGGGUUGGAAAGAUUUUUUGGUCAGGGAUGGGCUCGCGGCCUAUCAGCUUGUUGGUGGGGUGAUGGCCUACCAAGGCGUCGACGGGUAGCCGGCCUGAGAGGGCGACCGGCCACACUGGGACUGAGAUACGGCCCAGACUCCUACAGGAGGCAGCAGUGGGGAAUAUUGCGCAAUGGGCGGAAGCCUGACGCACCAACGCCGCGUGCGGGAUGACGGCCUUCAGGUUGUAAACCGCUUUCAGCAAGGACGAAGCUUUUUGUGACGGUACCUGCAGAAGAAGCACCGGCCAACUACGUGCCAGCAGCCGCGGUGAUACGUAGGGUGCGAGCGUUGUCCGGAAUUAUUGGGCGUAAAGAGCUCGUAGGCGGUUGAUUGCGUCCGAAGUGAAAUCUCACGGCUUAACUCUGAGUCUGCUUCCAAUACGGGUUGACUAGAGGAAGUUAGGGGAGAACAGAAUUCCUGGAGGAGCGGUGGAAUGCGCAGAUAUCAGGAGGAACACCGAUGGCGAAGGCAGUUCUCUGGGACUUUCCUGACGCUGAGGAGCGAAAGCGUGCGGAGCAAACAGGCUUAGAUACCCUGGUAGUCCACGCCGUAAACGGUGGGUACUACGUGUGGGGGACAUUC